CCCUCUGGUGUUGGUUAAUAAAGAUGUUAAGUAUAAACUUUGAAAUGAUAACGGUUCUCAAGAUAUAGAGCGGACACGAUCUUUACCAUAGGACAUGGGGUUGUCAACUGAAACCAAAGUUUUUGACCUUUAACUUUGCCCUAGGCAGUCGUUCAUAAAUUAUGACACACCCUCUGGUGUUGGUUCAUAUACAUGUCAAGUAUAAACUUUGAAAUCAUAACGGUUCUCAAGAUAUAGAGCGGACACGAUCUUCACCACAGGACACAGGGUUGUCAACUGAAACCAAAGUUUUUUGACCUUGACCUUUGACCUAGGAAGUUGUACAUACAUUAUGACACGCCCUCUGGUGGUGGUUAAUAAACAUGUAAAGUAUAAAGUAUGAAAUCAUAAUGGUUCUCUAGAUAUGGAGCGGACACAAAGUUAAAGUGUUACGGACGGACGG
rnacentral:lncRNA from 1 species